UUUAUAUGGCGAUUAACGAUAACGCUUUGUGAUAUGUCUGAUCAGUGGCGGAUCCAAAGGUUGUUCGAGGGAGGGGGCGGAUUUUAUGUAAAAAAAACCUUUUUUACUGACCUUAACUGAUUUGCUCGUAACUGUCUAACAUAUCAGUAUGAAAUUAUAUUUAUGACAGACUUUUGAUAAUGAAAAAUUCUAUUAUAUAUUAUUGUGUAAAAUAAUCACCCUGUAUCGCAUCGUACAGUCACGCACAGGCGAAUAAAAUCCUUCUAUAAAUAAAUGUAAAAUGUUGGUUAGUAGACACCGUUUCUGCAGUCACAACACGUCACAGUUAAAACACACGAUACGCGGGGAUUAACGUAAUUAAACGGUGUGACACAUUUUACUAAACAUUUGCCAAUUCGGCCUGUAUAAUCGAUUAGUUUUGUUUUCAAAUUUAAAUAUGUUACACGUCCCGUAUAGGUACCGCAUGAUUUCACGUGUAACAGAAUAUAGAUAUGACAUACUGUUAUUAUCUUUGGAAAACUGCAAUGUCGUUAUCGAAUAUCAUCGUGAAACUGAUAAGUGGCGGAUGUUAUUAACGUUAUCUUGUGUAGAAACAUCGUUGGUCUUCGAGAGAUUUUGAAAUUUAAGUCGCGUAAAGUGGCGUCUCUUAUUGCUGCCCUCUUCGUAAUUCAUCGUAGUCGGCGACGCUAACAGAAAAUCGUCGGAAGGGUAGGUACAUUUAAAAACGUAGGUAUACCUAUUAAAUUUUCCAACUUUCAAAAAUGUUUUUACACACAAUUUUCUCCUUUGAUAAAUGAUAAUGAUCAUACACCUAUAUUAUUAUUAUUAUUAUUAUUAUUACAUAUGGUAUAUAAUUUCAGCGUUAAUCAAUAUGAAAACAAUAUUGGGAGAUGUGAUGUUAUACCUUAUCGAAAUCUCCCCUUUGAGUAGUGUGCUUCUAGAGUAUCUUUUAAAGUCACAGUUUUGCGAACCUUGCGAUGAAUACACGAAACGAAAUAGCAUCAAAACGACAGCCAAACGCCUCUGAGCCUCUUAGCUUUUGCAUCCAAAAAAAAAUUCAUUCUCGAGGAGGGUUACCGGACAAGCUCAACCAACGUGUGACAAAAUAAUGUUUCCGAAAAAAAACCCCAU